rnacentral:ncRNA from 1 species
AUUUAGAAGAAUUUAAUUUUGGUUCUGAUUGAACGUUUUUCAGUAGUUUUAAGACAUGCAAAUCAUUGUUUAUAAUAAGUUAAUUAUUUAAAAUAAAUAAUAUAAAACUUAUAAAAAAUAAGGUGUAAAGGUGAGUAAUAUAGAUUAGAUACCUUGUAGUCUUCUUAAAUAGGAGAUAAUUUUACUUCUUAGGUAUAAAUUUUUUUAAUUAAUUUAAAUUUAAGAUACUUUAAUUUUAUAAUUAUUAGGAAAAGUAAAGAUAAAUAAGCUAUUUAUUAAAUAAAGGAAAUUUUCUGCUAUAAGAUUCGAUCUAUUCUGUUUAAGGGUAGUUGGUAGAGUAAAAGCCUACCAAGCCAACGAUCAGAAGCCAUGUUUGAGAGAUCAGAUGGCCACAUUGGGAAUGAAAUGUCCCUAGUAGUGUUUAACUACCAGCAGUCAAGAAUAUUAGUCAAUGCUCGAAAGAGUGAACUAGCUAACUGAAAUCACAUUUUGAUCUUCGGGAGAAGUGAUAAAUGUCCAUAGUAAGGGAAAAAAAUGAUGCUACCUUACUCUUAGUGUUGUCCAAAUCUGGUGCCAGAAGACUCGGUAAGGCCAGGAACGCGAACGUUAGUCACAUUGACCAGGCGUAAAGGGUAUGUAGGCAGCUUGAAAGUUUUAUUUUUAUCAUAGCUAUUUCAAUUUAAAAUAAAUAAUUUUAAAUAUUUAUUUUUUUGAUUUUAAAAAUAAAAUGAAUUAAAGAUAGAAUCAAAUUGAGGAUAAGCCGAAUAAUAUUUAGAGUAGGGAUUAAAUAUGCAAAUACUAAAUGGAAUACUAAAGGUGAAAGCUUUUUAUCUAAUAUUGAUCGACGCUGAGAUACUAAGGUGGGAAAAGGAAAUAGGAUUAGAGACCCUGGUACCUCCCACAGUCAACGAUGAAUGGUGGAUUAUUAGUUUUAUUUAAAACUAGUACCGAUGUUAACGCGAUAACCAUUCCGCCUUGAGAGUACGGUUGCAAAACUGGAACCAAAAAAAUUAGUCGGUCUCGGAGCAAACGAAGUGAAGCAUGUUAUUUAAUACGAUAAUCCGCGUAAAAUCUUACCAGUUCUUGUAUAGCCGUAUUUAUUUAGAAAAUUAUAUUGACAUAUUUUAUUAAGUAUGUGAUAUAAUUUUUUAUAGUAAUAUAUGAGUAGUUAUUAUUAAUUUAAUAACUCGUUUACAGGUGUUGCAUGGCUGUCGUCAGUCCGUGUUUUGAGAAGUUAGGUUAAAUCCACUAACGGACAAAAUCCCUGUUGUAAAUUUAUACUUUACAAUUAAUGAAUUUUAUAUACUUUCAUUUGGGGCUAAGACAAGUCGUUAUGGCCCUAAUGAACUGGGCUAUAGAUGUGCCACAAGGACUUUUACAAAGUGAUGCAAUAACCAGACCUUAUAUUUAUUGAAUUUAGAUCAUCCGAUCGCUACGCUGCUAAGCAGCUUUAGCAUUCAAUUAAUAUGUUAUCUUUUUUUAAAUAAAAUUAAAAAAGUUAAGGAUCAUAAGGAAUAGCUAAUCAUUAAAGAAAGUCAAUAUUAUUAAAAAUUUUUAGACGAAUUGUCGCCUGAAAUUCGGCGACAUGAAGAAGGAAUUUCGAGUAAUCGUUGAUCACUAGCGCAACGGUGAAGAGUGCAUCCGUGAUGAACUAACCGUCUGUCACUGGGAAGGAAUUCGGAUAGGGGGAAAUUGUAGCCUAAUUAUAACUAUUCAAAGAUAUUUAGUUUUAAUAUAAAAAUAAAAACUUUAUUGAUUUAAUAUUUUAAAUCUUUUAAAAAAAAAACAUCUUUGUUUAAAUAAUUAGUUAUUUUUAACCCAUUUGAGUAACAUCUCAAAAGUCAUAGCAAGGUAGCUGUACUGGAAGGUGCUGCUGGAAAAUAAAUUUA